rnacentral:rRNA from 1 species
CCCCUACGGGAGGCAGCAGUAGGGAAUCUUCCGCAAUGGGCGAAAGCCUGACGGAGCAACGCCGCGUGAGUGAAGAAGGAUUUCGGUUCGUAAAACUCUGUUGUUAGGGAAGAAUGAUUGUGUAGUAACUAUACACAGUAGAGACGGUACCUAACCAGAAAGCCACGGCUAACUACGUGCCAGCAGCCGCGGUAAUGGGG